rnacentral:misc_RNA from 1 species
CCCCAAUGGGUUCUCCGGAUUUCUGGAGACUUGUAGGGGUUGUGGGUUUUUUCGAUGUGUCGUCUCCGGACGGGCGGUGCAGGGUAGUCGAGUUAGACUUGGUGGAAUUCCGUCGAUAGGAGUUCCGUCGAGUCUGGUCGGCUGUGUGUUGAACGGUGCAGGGUAGGCUGCUUGGACAUGGUCGGUUCGAGGAUCGAUUCGAGGGCCGGCCUGUCGAUGAUGUGUGAUGUAUGCAGUCUAGGGUAGGCUGGUUUGUCUUGGUCCAAUUUGAUGUCGGCUCCCGUGCAGGCCAGAGUGAGGGGGGUCCAGGGUAGGUCCAGGGUAGGCAGCUUAGAUUUGGUCGAUCUGGAGGUCGAUUCUCCGGCUGGCGGAUCUGACACUGUCGAAACGAGAUGCGGGCGGUGUAGGGUAGGCUAGUUUCGUCCUCGCCAGGUUGCGAUUUGGACGAGAUAUGUGGUCUAGGGUAUGCUCUAGGGUAAGUAGAAUUCGAGUUCCGUCGCCGACAGUUUUCUGUGGGUGUAUGGUAGGUACAGGGUAGGCAGAUCUCUCUCCGGCCAGUACUUGUCUGGUGGUCGUGAGUCGAUUUUUUUGUUUUGCCAUACUAUUGAAUUUUGCGGAAAUUCAAAAGUGGCUCGGGAGUCCCGCCUGGCGUGCGUCCGACUCGAACAUCGUCGGUGUACAUAUGAGAGGGAGUAAUCCGGCCCGGUCGGGGCCCAUCGCGAGCUGCCGGGUAGGUAAAAGUAAAAAAGUUGUUAAGAGGCGCGGUGUCGGCGUGCUUGUAUUUGCGGGAGAGAAUUAUCUGGGGGUGCUGGGUAGCCGGGAAGACUUGGACGGAUCUGGCCCGGGAAUGGGUCUGGGCCUGGAUUCUGGUGUGGUGUAGGGUAGGCGUAGAUAGAUGAGUGGUCUAGGGUAGAUACAGGGUAGCCAGACGUCUGGUAUAUAGUAUGGGGGUGUAGGGUAGGUCUGGACACCGUUUUCCACUUCGCCCUUCCCUUUAGUCGAGGGAGGACGAUCUUGGCUGGGACGGAGGUGUAGGGUAGGCUUAACUUACGAUUACAUGAUCUGUGUCACUCUAGGGUAGGUGAAAAUCCCAUAUAUAUAUGAUCACAUUUGGUGAAGAGGUGGUUUGGCUGGUGAGAUGGACAAAAGUGCAAUAUAGAAUUAUAUGUGAUUUUGCAAAGUGGGUGUGAAAUUGGGAAAUCGGUUUUCCCGCACAGAU